rnacentral:rRNA from 1 species
GCACCUUCUUGGGGAACCUGGUGCUAAACCAUUCUUAGACGACCUGCUUCUGGGUGGGGUUUUCAUUCAUAGCAGAGCAGCUCCUUUGUUGUGAUCUGUUGAAGGUCAGCACUCGACACAAGGGUUUGU